UAUAUUUAGGUGUAAAGCACGUAAACUUUUGAUGUUUAAGGUUUUAGUUAAUUCUAUAAAAUAUAA
rnacentral:tRNA from 1 species